rnacentral:rRNA from 1 species
GUGGGGAAUCUUGCGCAAUGGGCGAAAGCCUGACGCAGCCAUGCCGCGUGAAUGAUGAAGGUCUUAGGAUUGUAAAAUUCUUUCACCGGGGACGAUAAUGACGGUACCCGGAGAAGAAGCCCCGGCUAACUUCGUGCCAGCAGCCGCGGUAAUACGAAGGGGGCUAGCGUUGCUCGGAAUUACUGGGCGUAAAGGGAGCGUAGGCUGAUAGUUUAGUCAGAGGUGAAAGCCCAGGGCUCAACCUUGGAAUUGCCUUUGAUACUGGCUAUCUUGAGUAUGGAAGAGGUAUGUGGAACUCCGAGUGUAGAGGUGAAAUUCGUAGAUAUUCGGAAGAACACCAGUGGCGAAGGCGACAUACUGGUCCAUUACUGACGCUGAGGCUCGAAAGCGUGGGGAGCAAACAGGAUUAGAAACCCCUGUAGUCC